GUAUGACACAUCGACUGUGUGUCGGUGGGCUUAAAAAGCAGCCCCUUUUUCUCAAUCGCACACAAAUCAAAUCAGUCCUUCUCGUUGGUGUCUAGAUCAGCGUUAUACGCCAUGUCAAAAUGUAUCCUUCUUGUGCCUCUUCUCAUCGCUGUUUAUAUGGCCUGCAGUGUCUCUGCUCAAGGUGGAGUCGCCCGUUGCUGUCGGAAGAUUAAAGGAACCGAAGUGACGUUGAAAAAACUGAAAAGCUACCAUGUGCAGGAAAGUUCAUCAUGCCAUCUGCCCGCAGUCGUUUUCACCACAGUCAGGAACAAGAGGAUCUGUGCAGAGCCCAACCAGCCGUGGACCAAUAAAAGCAUGGCCUACCUUGACGAAAAAGAAAACAGGAGACGGCCACACUUCCUCUCCAAAAACUCCAUCCUCUGAGAGGUUGAAGGCCAUAAGUAGUAGUUCAGUUGGGACAGUAUCGACACAACAACUACAUCAAUGUUUUUUUUGUAAAAUGACUUGAUGAUUACCAUACUUUAUUUUGAUAUGUACAUUUUGUCGACAAAAUGUAAAAGUCAACCUACAAUUUAGAAUUCACAUUUAUUUGCGUUUGUAUAAAACUAUUUUCUACAUUGUUCAUUUUGAUAAAGUAUAACUAUGAUUCUCAAUACCAUACUAUGCAUUAUAAUAAAUUAUCCUCAUUACUUAUUAUGAAUAUUAGUUCAUGAAGUAUUAAAUUAUUCAAAUAAUCAUAAUUAAGAAUGUUCAUGUCCUAUUAAAUUUGUACCUGUAUUCCAUGUAUGUCUGUAAGUUUUAGUGAGAAAUAAAUACGAUGAGAUAAAG